rnacentral:rRNA from 1 species
GAUGAACGCUGGCGGCGUGCCUAAUACAUGCAAGUCGAGCGAACAGACGAGGAGCUUGCUCCCCUGACGUUAGCGGCGGACGGGUGAGUAACACGUGGAUAACCUACCUAUAAGACUGGGAUAACUUCGGGAAACCGGAGCUAAUACCGGAUAAUAUAUUGAACCGCAUGGUUCAAUAGUGAAAGACGGUUUUGCUGGCACUUAUAGAUGGAUCCGCGCCGCAUUAGCUAGUUGGUAAGGUAACGGCUUACCAAGGCAAUGAUGCGUAGCCGACCUGAGAGGGUGAUCGGCCACACUGGAACUGAGACACGGUCCAGACUCCUACGGGAGGCAGCAGUAGGGAAUCUUCCGCAAUGGGCGAAAGCCUGACGGAGCAACGCCGCGUGAGUGAUGAAGGUCUUCGGAUCGUAAAACUCUGUUAUUAGGGAAGAACAAAUGUGUAAGUAACUAUGCACGUCUUGACGGUACCUAAUCAGAAAGCCACGGCUAACUACGUG